UUUGUUGCAUAUGUGAUCCAUCAGAACCAUGUGAGCCUAUCAGAAGUGGCAUAGUGAUGCGCAUAGCCAACCUAACAACAUAGAACGAGAUGACGAUGAUUAUCUUCGCAACCCAGUACCUGAGAAUGGGCAUGUUGGUGUUGAUGAGGAAAAUAUUUAUUUAGAGGAUGAACCUGUACCUCUUAUCAUGGUUCCUUGUUCCAAUAAAGAAAAGGACAAAGACUAUGUUCCUGAUCAUCAGAGCGAGGCUAAGAGCAAGGAUGAGAGCAUGUGAGAGGUUGAAGUAGAGGAAGAUGAGGAAUAUCACGAGGCAGUUCAUGCACCACACUUUGAAUAUGAUAAAUUAGAUCCUCCAAUGAACGAAGGAAGAAAAUAUACCAAUAUGGCAGAGUUUAAAUAGGCGCUUUCUCAGCAUGCAAUCAAACAUGAAUUUGAGUUUGACACCAAAAAGAGUGCACCACAUAGGUUUAGAGCUUAUUGUUCAAGAAGGGAUGAAGAUAAGUGUCCAUGGAGGACAUAUGCUUCUACAAUGGAAGAUGAGUGCACAGUAAUGGUGAGAAAGAACCCUUGUGGUCAUGAUUGCUCUAGUACAAAAAGAA